rnacentral:rRNA from 14 species
UCAAGCAACUAAGCGCAUACGGUGGAUGCCUUGGCAAUUGGAGGCGAUGAAGGACGUUGGAGCCUGCGAAAAGCGUGGGGGAGUCGGCAACCAGACUUUGAUCCCGCGAUGUCCGAAUGGGGAAACCCACCUGUUUACAGGUAUCGUUAACUGAAUACAUAGGUUAACGAGGCAAACGAGGGGAACUGAAACAUCUAAGUACC